GACGAACGCUGGCGGCGUGCUUAACACAUGCAAGUCGAACGAAGUGGCGAACGGGUGAGUAACGCGUAAUCAACCUCCCCUUCAGAGGGGGUUAACAGUUGGAAACGACUGUUAUUCCCCAUAACUGAAGGGGGGGUUUGCGUCGGAUUAGCUAGUUGGAGGGGUAACGGCCCACCGAGGUGAUGAUCAGUAGGCUGGCUGAGGGGAUUGACGGGCACAUUUGGACUGGGACACGGCCCAGACUCCUACGGGAGGGAGCAGGGGGGAAUCUUUCGCAAUGGACGAAAGUCUGGCGGAGCAACGCCGCGUGAGGUAUGACGGCCUUCGGGGUGUAAAGCUCUGUUAAUCGAGACGCGGUACCGGAAUAGAAAGCCACGGCUAACUACGUGCCAGCAGCCGCGGUAAUAC
rnacentral:rRNA from 1 species